UACGUAGGGUGCGAGCGUUAAUCGGAAUUACUGGCGUAAAGCGUGCGCAGGCGGGCUUUUAAGCCAGACGUGAAAUCCCCGGGCUUAACCUGGGAAUGGCGUUUGGGACUGGAAGUCUGGAGUGCGGCAGAGGAGACUGGAAUUCCUGGUGUAGCAGUGAAAUGCGUAGAUAUCAGGAGGAACACCGAUGGCGAAGGCAGGUCUCUGGGCUGACACGUGACGCUCAUG
rnacentral:rRNA from 1 species